rnacentral:rRNA from 1 species
AUUGAACGCUAGCGGGAUGCUUUACACAUGCAAGUCGAACGGAGUGGCGGACGGGUGCGUAAUAUAUCGGAACGUGCCCAGUAGCGGGGGAUAACUACUCGAAAGAGAGGCUAAUACCGCAUACUAUUUGAGCGGCCGAUAUCGGAUUCGCUGUGUGGUGGGGUAAAGGCUCACCAAGGCAACGAUCCGUAGCUUGUUUGAGAGGACGACGAGCCCCACUGGGACUGAGACACGGCCCAGACUCCUACGGUAGGCAGCAGGGGGGAACUUUGGACAAUGGGGGAAACCCUGAUCCAGCCAUCCCGCGUGUAGGAUGAAGGCCUUCGGGUUGUAAAGUACUUUUGGCAGAGAAGCGGUAUCUGCAGAAUAAGCACCGGCUAACUACGUGCCAGCAGCCGCGGUAAUUC